rnacentral:rRNA from 1 species
GAUGAACGCUAGCUACAGGCUUAACACAUGCAAGUCGAGGGGCAGCAUUAAGUCAGCUUGCUGAUUUAGAUGGCGACCGGCGCACGGGUGAGUAACGCGUAUCCAACCUGCCCCCUACCCGGGGAUAGCCUUGCGAAAGUAAGAUUAAUACCCGGUGCUGUUAUGGUUCCGCAUGGGAAUAUAACGAAAGAUUCAUCGGUAGGGGAUGGGGAUGCGUCCGAUUAGCUUGUUGGCGGGGUAACGGCCCACCAAGGCGACGAUCGGUAGGGGUUCUGAGAGGAAGGUCCCCCACAUUGGAACUGAGACACGGUCCAAACUCC